AUGCUGCUAGGCUGCAGGUCCCUCUCCUCCUGGGUGCGCCGCCUCGUCGCCUGCAUGGGAAGUUGCCUUGGAUGCUGUGGCUGUGCUAAGCCUGCUCCGAUAAUAGCGGUCGAUGAGCCUUCAAAAGGUUUGAGGAUCCAAGGCCGCUCAGUAAGGAAGACAAACUUGUCUGAGGGCUUCUGGAGCACGAGCGCACACGGGAUUGGAAACAGCGCGCUACAAUCGCAGAGGAGCAUGUCUUCAAUCAGUACAGCGCCGCAAUCCAGCGAUCAGCAUGGAGCUGGAAGUAGCAGCAACCCAAACGAGUUUGUAAAUCAAGGUCUUGUGCAGUGGAACCAGACUAGACAACAGUGGGUUGGAAACAAAAAACGCAAAUCUCGACUUGAAAAGCCCCGGGAACCAAAGAUAAGUUGGAACACAACGUAUGAGAGCCUGCUAGGAAGCAAUAAACUAUUCUACCAACCAAUUCCUCUUGCGGAAAUGGUAGACUUGCUUGUGGACGUGUGGGAGCAAGAAGGACUAUACGGUUAG
rnacentral:rRNA from 1 species